rnacentral:rRNA from 1 species
AUUGAACGCUGGCGGCAGGCCUAACACAUGCAAGUCGAGCGGAUGAAGGGAGCUUGCUCCUGGAUUCAGCGGCGGACGGGCGAGUAAUGCCUAGGAAUCUGCCUGGUAGUGGGGGAUAACGUCCGGAAACGGGCGCUAAUACCGCAUACGUCCUGAGGGAGAAAGUGGGGGAUCUUCGGACCUCACGCUAUCAGCUGAGCCUAGGUCGGAUUAGCUAGUUGGUGGGGUAAGGGCCUACCAAGGCGACGAUCCGUAACUGGUCUGAGAGGAUGAUCAGUCACACUGGAACUGAGACACGGUCCAGACUCCUACGGGAGGCAGCAGUGGGGAAUAUUGGACAAUGGGCGAAAGCCUGAUCCAGCCAUGCCGCGUGUGUGAAGAAGGUCUUCGGAUUGUAAAGCACUUUAAGUUGGGAGGAAGGGCAGUAAGUUAAUACCUUGCUGUUUUGACGUUACCAACAGAAUAAGCACCGGCUAACUUCGUG